rnacentral:rRNA from 1 species
GAUGAACGCUGGCGGCGUGCCUAAUACAUGCAAGUCGAGCGAACGGACGAGAAGCUUGCUUCUCUGAUGUUAGCGGCGGACGGGUGAGUAACACGUGGAUAACCUACCUAUAAGACUGGGAUAACUUCGGGAAACCGGAGCUAAUACCGGAUGAUAUUUUGAACCGCAUGGUUCAAAAGUGAAAGACGGUCUUGCUGUCACUUAUAGAUGGAUCCGCGCUGCAUUAGCUAGUUGGUAAGGUAACGGCUUACCAAGGCAACGAUGCAUAGCCGACCUGAGAGGGUGAUCGGCCACACUGGAACUGAGACACGGUCCAGACUCCUACGGGAGGCAGCAGUAGGGAAUCUUCUGCAAUGGGCGAAAGCCUGACGGAGCAACGCCGCGUGAGUGAUGAAGGCCUUCGGAUCGUAAAACUCUGUUAUUAGGGAAGAACAUAUGUGUAAGUAACUGUGCACAUCUUGACGGUACCUAAUCAGAAAGCCACGGCUAACUACGUG